AUUCAAGCCAUUGAUUCAUUCGUGAACCCUCGCGCCGCAGUGCUACGGUGUUCUGCUGUGUGUUUGUUUGGACCGAUUUUCGUUGACAGGGCGAAAACAGACUGUUUUAACUUGCAACAUUGUGUCUAAAAUCCUAAUAUUAACAAUGAAAUCAACACGCACCAUAUUGAAGGAAAGUGGACGCCAAGCAGGCCAGCCAGAGUAGCCUCCAUCCUGUACAGCCCAUCACUGAGGACCCGUGUGCGCUUUCCUCCAUACAGAGGUCACUAGGAGGAUGGUUUGUUGUAGCCGAAUAGCCCCACAGGGAAGUACUUCACAUGAGUGGGCCACUGAGACGCCAGCUGGAAGAACUUCACAUCAUUCCACUCCAUUCCAUCUACAGACACUGAAACAUGUUCAUUUCAUGAGUCAAAUGUCAUUCUGCAUUAUUUCUAGGUCACUAGUUAAUCAAAUGUGUGUCAUGGCUCGUGGACAAAAAAAAAUUAUACUAAGGCAUUCUGAAAUUCAUGUUCAUUUUUACAUUAUACAAUGAAUAUUCAGUUAGGAAAAUGGAAACUAAACAUUUUGCCAAUGGUCUCAGACCUUUCAGGGCCAUAAACACCAAAGACGUUUAGUUUAGUGGUCAAUUCUUAAUCUUAACUUUGACCCCUCAAAUUUGGAAUAUCUGGUUAUCAUCUUUGGACACUAGGAAUCAUAUUUUCACAUUAUUUGUAAUAAUGUGUAAACCUUUUAAACAGUGAAUGUCUUGGUAAGCUUGACUCAAUUCCUUUGCAUCACA